ACAGCUGGUGUUGUUACUGAUAAGGAAGGUGACAAUAUUGCAGUGCUGAUGGGAGUAUUGCUACUAGUGGCACUAUUUAUUAUACUAACAAUGUUUAUUGUUAUGAUAAUACUUGUUGUUAAAUAUAUAAUUCGUCCCAGACCUAGUUCUGGUGUUUACAGUAGAGUUCCAGCUGAUGAAGGACACGUCCAGUAUAGGAAUGGAGCUGAGAGUCCUACUGAUGAUGAUGACGAAAGGCCCCUCCCUUUAUAAAUUAA